CGCGUAUUUUGCCUAGACGGAGUUCGACCGCCGCGGCAAGUGAUGAUCGAUUUCAUCGAUCAUCAUCGCGACGUCUGCGGUGUCGAGCCGAUCUGCACGACAACAGCGCGAUGCCCG
rfam:Salinisphaera hydrothermalis C41B8 contig26, whole genome shotgun sequence.